AGUGAACGCUGGCGGUAGGCCUAACACAUGCAAGUCGAACGGCAGCACAGUAAGAGCUUGCUCUUACGGGUGGCGGGUGGCGGACGGGUGAGGAAUACAUCGGAAUCUACUUUUUCGUGGGGGAUAACGUAGGGAAACUUACGCUAAUACCGCAUACGACCUACGGGUGAAAGCAGGGGAUCUUCGGACCUUGCGCGAUUGAAUGAGCCGAUGUCGGAUUAGCUAGUUGGCGGGGUAAAGGCCCACCAAGGCGACGAUACGUAGCUGGUCUGAGAGGAUGAUCGGCCACACUGGAACUGAGACACGGUCCAGACUCCUACGGGAGGCAGCAGUGGGGAAUAUUGGACAAUGGGCGCAAGCCUGAUCCAGCCAUACCGCGUGGGUGAAGAAGGCCUUCGGGUUGUAAAGCCCUUUUGUUGGGAAAGAAAAGCAGCAGGUUAAUACCCCGCUGUUCUGACGGUACCCAAAGAAUAAGCACCGGCUAACUUCGUG
rnacentral:rRNA from 1 species